UCAAGGUGAAGAGUGGAAGUUCAGGGCUAAAAGGGAAAACAUGGGGCUGAGAGUGGGGACUCCUGGCUCCUGCUGUCAGUCAUUUUGGGCUCAGAGAGAGGCUCUUGCUGAAGUCACUCAGGGUUUUUAAGGAGCUUCAGGGGGUAGCCGAGUUAGUCUGUUACAGAAGAAAAAAACAUAGUCUAUAAAAUGCUACCAGACCAUUUGUUGUUUUUUUCAGGGCUGUUAGUGAGGGCCCAGAGCUGACAGCAGUCACCCAGGACUCGCAACCCCGGCUGUCAAAACUGCAGUGGAAAUUCAACCCAAUCUCCUGCACCUUCAGCAUCUACAAUGAUAAGUGAGUUAGGAAGAAGAGAAGAAUCAUUAUUGAGCAAUGCUGUUAAAAAGGAUUUUAAAACAAGAUCUUAGCAGCAGAAGUCAAAUGACAUUGGUCCAGGUUACAGAAGACGAUACCCUCACAUGGCACAAGGGUCAGUUUCCAGGGAUUCCAGGAGCAUCUGUGGCAGGAACCAGACCAACCACAGCAAAUUUCAGCUGAAGUUGAAUGUUAUGAGAGAUUUAUGAGGGAGUGAGAGUGAAAACUGCGGUUUCUAAUAAAA